rnacentral:rRNA from 1 species
GUGAGGAAUAUUGGUCAAUGGGCGCUAGCCUGAACCAGCCAAGUAGCGUGAAGGAUGACUGCCCUAUGGGUUGUAAACUUCUUUUAUAUGGGAAUAAAGUGCAGUAUGUAUACUGCUUUGCAUGUACCUUAUGAAUAAGGAUCGGCUAACUCCGUGCCAGCAGCCGCGGUAAUACGGAGGAUUCGAGCGUUAUCCGGAUUUAUUGGGUUUAAAGGGAGCGUAGGCGGGUUGUUAAGUCAGUUGUGAAAGUUUGCGGCUCAACCGUAAAAUUGCAGUUGAUACUGGCAUCCUUGAGUACAGUAGAGGUAGGCGGAAUUCGUGGUGUAGCGGUGAAAUGCUUAGAUAUCACGAAGAACUCCGAUUGCGAAGGCAGCCUGCUGGACUGUAACUGACGCUGAUGCUCGAAAGUGUGGGUAUCAAACAGG